CACCAAUCCACACCAUCCAUGAUGCCAUCUCCUCAUCCUGCCGUCAUUUCACACCAAAAAGGGGUAAUCCACCGUGUGGGUUCAAAAAAGAAAUACAAUCCGAAAGGAAGUGCAAAUAUAUGUUUCAGAUUUUAUAAAGUAUUACAUUAGUGUAGCUAAAUGGGCAACAUUUAGGAUUGAAAUAUUAUGUUUAUAUGUUUAAUCAACAGAGAAACAAACAUCGCUAUAGCUUAACUAAACGUUCACAUAUGAAAUUGUUUUAUUAUGUGUAGUUUCUAAUUUAGUUUUUUAAUUAUGACCUGGUGACGUAUAACGUCACAUAGCGUCAACAUAAUGACGUAUCAACAGCUAAUUAACGCUAAGCUAACUAACGUCCGUUUUAGUUCAGAGUUAGCACUAACUUAGCUAGCUAGCUAGUGGAAAAAAAAGUCAUGUUAAUCGUUAACUAACUAAUGCGAACGUAUUGUGGCUCUCUUAAUUAAAAUAGACUAGUGGAGUUUUCUUCCAACCUAAAAGUAAUGACACGUUUUAAAGCCGUGUGCAGGUGAAACAGUUUCUUUUAAAUUCUGAGCUCUUGACAGCAGCAGAUUUCUGUUUGACUGUUAGCUUAGUUAGCUAAUUUGCUAAUGUAGCUAGGUGUGAAAAUGAGCGACCAACUCUCACUUAGUAACAUCGACAGCCUUCUCUUUCAGUUUGCUCUUCAAACUCGGGAGCUUUCCCAAAAGAAGAAUGAACUCCAGCAACAAAUUAAAGUUUGCAGAGCUGACAUUGCUGAGAGGAGGACUUACAUUGAGUCACUGCAGAGAAAUAUAAAGAAACUUGAGGAGGAAACCAGGAUAAAACAAAGCACUGUGAAACACAAUAAAGCAAAUGCAAAAAGCAUGAAGGCAACAAACAGCCUGCUCCUUCAGUAUGAGCAGAUGCUAAAAGCAGAAUUAGAAAGCAGAAAAGCCAGCUACAACCAUGACAUGGAGGUCUAUGAAGAGCGAAUUAUAAGCUACAGAAAGAUAUUCCAGUCACAUAAAGAGUAUUAUUACCAGAAUCCUCUGGCUCAAAAGCUGCUCAUGCUGCAGGCUGAAAAAGAGGCGACUGACUGUAGGAUUAAGAUCUGUGAUGAGCAAAUUACAAUUAAACAGAAAGAGCUGGACCAUCUCACUGGUCCAGCUGCCAUUUCUUCUUCCACUGAGGAACCACUAGAGAAUGUAUCUGUCCAGGAACCCGCGACUGAACCUGAGAAACAAUCAGAUCCUCAGAUACAGGAGGACAGUGAUUCCUCCGUUGAUAUCUCCUCUGUUCAUCUCAACCAGACAACGAACAAAGACAGCGAAUUGAGAUCCCCACCACUGAGCACGACAAGGAAACUGCAAUACAGGACCAGGCUAUAG
rnacentral:lncRNA from 1 species